rnacentral:rRNA from 1 species
AUUGAACGCUGGCGGCAGGCCUAACACAUGCAAGUCGAGCGGAUGAAGGGAGCUUGCUCCUGGAUUCAGCGGCGGACGGGUGAGUAAUGCCUAGGAAUCUGCCUGGUAGUGGGGGAUAACGUCCGGAAACGGGCGCUAAUACCGCAUACGUCCUGAGGGAGAAAGUGGGGGAUCUUCGGACCUCACGCUAUCGGAUGAGCCUAGGUCGGAGUAGCUAGUUGGUGGGGUAAAGGCCUACCAAGGCGACGAUCCGUAACUGGUCUGAGAGGAUGAUCAGGCACACUGGAACUGAGACACGGUCCAGACUCCUACGGGAGGCAGCAGUGGGGAAUAUUGGACGAUGGGCGAAAGCCUGAUCCAGCCAUGCCGCGUGUGUGAAGAAGGUCUUCGGAUUGUAAAGCACUUUAAGUUGGGAGGAAGGGCAGUACGUUAAUACCUUGCUGUUUUGACGGUACCAACAGAAUAAGCACCGGCUAACUUCGUG